UCUCUUUAUAUUUAGAGGUUCAUUGCCACACAAUGAGAUUACAGAAGAUUAAGUAAAAGAAAAUGUGAAACGUUUUAUAGCACUUGUAAUGUGCUACUUACUGCAUGCAUUAUCUUUGUACUGUUUUGUUUGUUCGUUUGUUUUUUGUUCCCCAUUUCUAAGCACUUUUUAACAUCCUGUUAGCAUAUAGUACCACAGAUUUUGUUCAGAUCCUGAAAGUGGAGCUGUAAGUGAAUUGCUGCUGGUUGUUAUCCACCUUCAUCAAAGUUAACUGUAGGUUGAAUUAUUUAGAAAGUAUUACUUUCCCCAUGUUUUUUCCCCAAAAAACAGUAUGACCAGACUUGAAAAAUAGAUUUUUUUUCCACAGGUCUUAAAAGCUAGAACUACUGUGAAAAGGGACUCAGGGACUACUUUAGGCUGAAAUUCACCAUGUGAGAAGGAGUAGUGCAAGACCUCCGCAUCAAUGAUGAGGAGUUUAGCUGGCCCAUAAAGCCUAGACAACACAAAUCUGAUUAACACCUGGGCAUCGCUUUGGAUUUCAAGAAAUACCUUUACACAGUCUAUAUUUGGCUAUUUCAGUGUCUCCAUUGGCUUUGCUAAUAUUCAGCAUUCUAGGAAUAAUGUUUUAGUCUUCCCUUAAAAAUAUCAUAAACAGCCUUUCCCAGAAGAUUCAUAUUAUCAAAUGACUACAGUUUAGUCUUGAGCCUAUAAAAACGUUUAGAAAUAUAAGCACUAAAACGUACAGAGCAACAAAUAGUACCCUUAGCAGCCUUUCCUUGAGGAGUACGAUAACUCAGAACAAUACCAUUAACUUUCCCUUCACUCUUAGGACCACAACGGCUACGUGUAUAGUGCUGAUCUCAAACUCACCCAGUCGGAAAGCCUCCCAGUGGAUUUAGGAAAAAAAAUCACAGAAGUGGAGGUUAGGAUAGAAGAAAAGGCUCAGAAAACAAUAUCUCUACCCAAGGAGUGGAUCACAUUGCACUGAUAGAAAUUUAAUGGUUCUUCAGGAAGCAUAAUGAACAACCUUAUCUCAGGAGACCUCUGUUCUCUACACAAAUCAAGAGUGGUGACAGCUCAUCCUUCCCAGAAACCAAUACCAGGAAGAAAGUGCGCUGCCUGAGAACGU
rnacentral:lncRNA from 1 species